rnacentral:rRNA from 1 species
AUACGGAGGGUGCAAGCGUUAUUCGGAAUCACUGGGCGUAAAGGACGCGUAGGCGGGUUGGCAAGUCAGAUGUGAAAUCCUACAGCUUAACUGUAGAACUGCAUUUGAAACUGCUAACCUAGAGUAUGGGAGGGGGAGAUGGAAUUAGUGGUGUAGGGGUAAAAUCCGUAGAUAUCACUAGGAAUACCGAAAGCGAAGGCUAUCUCCUGGAACAUAACUGACGCUAAGGCGUGAAAGCGUGGGGAGCAAACAGGAUUAGAAACCCUAGUAGUCC